rnacentral:rRNA from 1 species
CACGUAGGGCGCAAGCGUUGUCCGGAAUUAUUGGGCGUAAAGAGCUCGUAGGCGGCCUGUUGCGUCUGCUGUGAAAGCCCGGGGCUUAACCCCGGGCCUGCAGUGGAUACGGGCGGGCUAGAGGCAGGUAGGGGAGAAUGGAAUUCCUGGUGUAGCGGUGAAAUGCGCAGAUAUCAGGAGGAACACCGGUGGCGAAGGCGGGUCUCUGGGCCGAUACUGACGCUGAGGAGCGAAAGCGUGGGGAGCGAACAGG